AUUGAACGCUGGCGGCAGGCCUAACACAUGCAAGUCGAGCGGAGCGGCGGACGGGUGAGUGCUGCCUAGGGAUCUGCAUGGUAGUGGGGGAUCACUCACGGGGAGGGGCGCUAAUGCCGCAUACUAACAGAGGGGCCUCGGUCGGAUUAGCUAGUUGGUGGGGUAAAGGCCUACCAAGGCGACGAGCCGUAACUGGUCUGAGAGGAUGAGCAGUCACACUGGAACUGAGACACGGCCCAGACUCCUACGGGAGGCAGCAGUGGGGAAUAUUGGACAAUGGGCGAAAGUCUGAUCCAGCCAUGCCGCGUGUGUGAAGAAGGUCUUCGGAUCGUAAAGCUCUUUAAGUUGGGAGGCGGUACCAACAGAGAAAGCACCGGCUAACUUCGUGCCAGCAGCCGCGGUAAUUC
rnacentral:rRNA from 1 species